AGCAGCUCAUCUGGUUUCAAUACUUGUCUAAUUAAUGCAUCAUCCGGUUGAAAUUUGGUUUUCCUUUCAAGACUUUAUAGAUAUUUCAAUCUAUGCUUGACGUGUAUUUCGAGAUAGGAAAUACGGUCUAAUGUCAUUAAUAUGAAUAUCAUAAGGAGGUGUUUGGUUUGGCAAAUAAGAGUAUUAAAUGUCCAAAACUAACAUUUUCUCAUGUUUGGUUUGAUGAAUACCAUUUCAAUAGGGCCUCCAUUAAUGAGUCCGGCCCGCCUCAUUUUUGCCCAUUUCAUUAGUUAGGGUAUCUUCCAAAUUUUGGCAGAAACGUUUUCUACCUCAGAGUGUUAACUUCAUUGGAAAACUGAAAUGACCCAUUUGUCCUCAUCUUCUUCAAUCACGUAACAUUUCACCUCCUUUUCUGUACAUUUUUUUUACCGCUGCCUGCUCUCGUCUUCUCUCCGCGGAAUAAUCAAUUGGCAUCGGCUUCUUCUGGGACUUCGAGUUAAAUACCCACGUCGACCAAGUUGUGCUUCUGUGCAAAUUCAUUGACUUUUCCUGAUGUGUGUCUUGAUUGGAGUUAGACGAGGCGAAAUCUUGAUGAAGAGGUCGCGAGGAGGCUGUGAAUUUUGGUGGUUCCUCAAUAAUUUAUUGCUAGGGUUAGAUGAGGAUAAUAUUGGAAAUAAGAAAAAUAUAUGAGGAUAUUUCUGAUAUUUCAAGCUAUUCUUAAGUGCUUAAAAUCCAAACCAAACAUUCGAAUUUAAACUAUAGAAACCAUAAAGGACAAACCAAACAAUGGAAAUAUUUCUCUCCUACCAUGAAAAGGGAAUUACUAAUAAGAGCAAUUCCUUUUCUUGAGAAACCAUAAAGGACAAAUCAAACUAGCCCUAAGGUUUUUCACGUAUUGUUUCUUAGUUAGAAUGGUCGUCGAAGUUGUUUGAUAGACAUUACGCAAAUGCUCGAAGAAUCAUUCUGUAUACUAAAAGAUUAUAAAGAUAAAUUUGAUUAAGUUAUCUA